GCAUUUUGUUCCUCAGGAAGAAAGCACAAAAUGACCAUUAAGAAAUGCCAGCAGAGGAGAGGAAACAAUCUCACGGCAGAACGACAGCCCGUGGGGCAUGGGCUGCCCCAGCCAAGAUCCCACCCGUCCGUCUCAGCUGCCACUGAAUGCAGGGCUCCAUGAUACAGUGGUGCCACGUUGUGCUCCUAAUCCCACCUCCGUGCCUGGGAUUUCCCUGAAAGUUCCCAUUUCUCCUUGUCUGGACUUAUACAGCUGCACCAGAUGAACGGUACUUGCUCCAUCCAUCCUUGCUACGACAGCCUCGUGGCGCGCAUGCUGUGUUCAUUUCUCUCCCCACUGACCUCGCCAGUCUUCUCUGGAGUGUGCUCGCACAAAAAGCAAAGCAGAACUGCAAUUACUCCGCUGCGAUCACGGGAACAUUGAAAACAGUGUGGAAGCAUGAGCAAUGCGAGCACCCUGGCCAUGGGUUGCCAUUCCAGCUGUGCAUGGACCAGAAGGGAUCAGAGCUGAGCUUGAAAGCCCCCCAUUGCCAUCCAGGGCUGGGAUCAGCCCCAAAACUGCUCUCCGGCACCCCCAGCGCGAUGGGAUCUGAGGGCGCUCAGGAUCUGACGUGUUUUACCAAACCACGCUCUUCAGGACUUGGCUGCU
rnacentral:lncRNA from 1 species